rnacentral:rRNA from 1 species
CCUACGGGGGGCAGCAGUGGGGAAUAUUGGACAAUGGGGGCAACCCUGAUCCAGCCAUGCCGCGUGUGUGAAGAAGGCCCUCGGGUUGUAAAGCACUUUCAGUGAGGAAGAACGCCUGGUGGUUAAUACCCAUCAGGAAAGACAUCACUCACAGAAGAAGCACCGGCUAACUCCGUGCCAGCAGCCGCGGUAAUACGGAGGGUGCGAGCGUUAAUCGGAAUUACUGGGCGUAAAGCGCGCGUAGGUGGCUUGAUAAGCCGGUUGUGAAAGCCCCGGGCUCAACCUGGGAACGGCAUCCGGAACUGUCAAGCUAGAGUGCAGGAGAGGAAGGUAGAAUUCCCGGUGUAGCGGUGAAAUGCGUAGAGAUCGGGAGGAAUACCAGUGGCGAAGGCGUCCUUCUGGACUGACACUGACACUGAGGUGCGAAAGCGUGGGUAGCAAACAGGAUUAGAUACCCCGGUAGUC